UACGAAGGGGGCUAGCGUUGCUCGGAAUUACUGGGCGUAAAGCGCACGUAGGCGGUCUUUUAAGUCAGGGGUGAAAUCCCAAGGCUCAACCUUGGAACUGCCUUUGAUACUGGGGAUCUCGAGUCCGGAAGAGGUUGGUGGAACUGCGAGUGUAGAGGUGAAAUUCGUAGAUAUUCGCAAGAACACCAGUGGCGAAGGCGGCCAACUGGUCCGGUACUGACGCUGAGGUGCGAAAGCGUGGGGAGCAAACAGG
rnacentral:rRNA from 1 species